CGUUUGACGGACCACAACCUUCGGCCGACGGCCAGGUUUCGCCGCGGCUUCACGGACGACCCGUCCGGCAGCGCGUGCGCGUGUGAAAGACGGUGGCACGUCUGUCACGUGUCCGCGGUUGUAGAUGCUGCACACAACGCUCCGCACACCUGCACCAAAUGUAGGUCGAGGGGCACAACAUUAAGGACGACUCCAAGGCGACGUUACAGUAAAUGCAUUGGCAAGGAUGAGAUCCUGCCUCAGCAUGCCCAUCAAUCAUCUCAGACAGAACACCGCAUCACUCUUGCCUGGUGCCCAAGGCCAAACGUUUCAACAUGCUGCGCUGAAGUACAGGUGGACCUCUUGUGACAGCUCUGUCGAACAAUUCAUCUUCUUGUCUACCUACCAAGUUCUUGGUGAGAAGUACGGAGACUUGUUGGAGGUAAAGGGUGACUGUCGCACAGCGAAAGAGAAAAACAAGAUGUGAACCAGGCAUGGCAGUAUCAACCUGAGAAGCCUAGCAUUGGGAGAAGAAGCAGAAACGUGAUGCCUCGGGCAUGUAAUUGCCACGAGGUGCACGCCACCUUUCAAGGAAGACAUGGUUUGCCAAACGUCACCGUCGAAGUACUCAGGGUGCCUGAAAUCUGCACUGUCAAAGGUCCUUUGAUGGGUAACGACCUUCUUUGUUCGCUGCCAUCGCAAAAGAUAUUUGCAGCAGAUGCAUCAACAACCAACUUUGCGUCAGAUGCAGCGAUCAACUUUCUUGUCGAAUUGAACAUCUAUUGGCUAGUCGUGGCCGGAUGGAUCAAACGUCUUGAGACUGUGCCUAGUGGGGUGGUGCAGGGCAAGUCCAGCAGCAAGUUGUUCCCAGGUUCCACUAUUUAUACAGCAGUGCUACCUCUCGUUGGUGGGGAUCACAUUGACAAUGAUAACAACUUGGACCUUACUAAAAUGUGGCAACUUGAUCUGAUGGAAAUCAUGGUUGUUGGCAUCCAAAUUACCACCUCAAAAGUUGGCUCGGCAGGUGACUUCAAGGCCGCAGUGCAGCUGGAAGGAAGGGCAAUAUAUUGUGCCACUUUGGAUCAAGUCUCCUGCUCUCAUGUCGGACACCAUCCGCGCGGUUUACAGAAUUGUGCUUGAAGCGUGAGUGACAGUAUUUAUGACAUUGUCUUGAUCUUCUUCCGGCUGUAAAGACAAAGGUACAAAUCAAGCUCAACAUUUUUCAGUGAAAGCUGUUAUGAGAUCACAACAGCAGCCAGUUUUGGUGCCAUAGUUGUCCUCCGCCUGUGUUCAUAACCGCUAUCACGCACGAUAAAAAUAAUAAAGGAUCGAGGGGGAUUUGAACCCUGGCCCUGUGCAUGGCAGUCGAGUAUUCUACCACAGAGCCACACCGGUGCUUGGAGCUCCUUCGCAAAAAGACCCCAUUCAGGUGUUAUGUUUGGCAAGGAGUCACGUUAACAAAUGUAAUAUAGCAUGGCAAAGAGUAAAACAACCAGGCGUCACACAAUGCGAAUUUCUUAAUGAGUGGAUGGUUUAAAGUUUCCCACCCAUUACGAAUGGCUCAGCCAAAAUUCUUCAUAUCAUCAGCAACAACAUCAACAAAGUGCACAUAAUGCCUUGCAGAUGGGUAAUACGUAGGUACCUAGCUUCUCCGCAGAGUGAUGAACAAUGGCAUAGCGGGUGCUUCCCUACUUCUUGAAAUUCUGAUGAUUAGUGGCAUAGUGGGCGCCUUGCAACUGUACUUGUGGUAGUCAGCCCAAGAGAGUUUACAACAGGUUUAGAAAGGCUUCUCCUCCAGUUAUCGCUAUGACUGUGCUGUGUGUUCCGCGCAGGCCUGGCGUUUUUUUCUUAUGUCGUCAGCAAACAUUCCAUCAACAGUGUAUUCGACGAUGAGCCAUACAUUUCUCACUCGAGAUAUAAUAUAGUGCCUUUGGUGCUGGUUGUUCAUAGUAGUUGCCGCUCCAACGAAACGUCCACCAACAUAUUUAUCACCGCUCUUUUUUCUGUCACCGUAGCCACUAAAGUAAGGAGAGUGAACACCGCCAGCCACAGCACCAAGUCUAACAUAUUGACAGUGUUAAGGCCUUGUAUGGCUUUCUUUGGCGACAAUGGCAAUAGUCACACCAAGAACCUAAAAAAAAUUAUACGCAGCUUCG